rnacentral:lncRNA from 1 species
GCCUCGGGUCCCUGUGUCGUUCGCCCCUCGGGUCUCCUAGUGUCGUCUGCCCCUCGGGUCCCUAGUGUCGUCUGCCCCUCGGUCCCUAGUGUCGUCUGCCCCUCGGGUCCCUAGUGUCGUCUGCCCUCGGGUCCCUGUGUCGUCUGCCCCUCGGUCCCUCGUGUCGUCUGCCCUCGGGUCCCUAGUGUCGUCUGCCCCUCGGGUCCCUAGUGUCGUCUGCCCCUCGGGUCCCUAGUGUCGUCUGCCCCUCGGGUCCCUAGUGUCGGUCCGUAGUGUCGUGUUUCUGCGACCCCUAAUACAUUAGUCCAUGUUUUGAUUUCUUCCCGUUUCUCCCUGCCCUCCAGAUGCCAAAGCUACCUCCACCUGCCAGUCCAGUUCAGCCGGUUGUAACUGGCAACCACUCCAGCCUGCUGUUGGUUCAGACGGAUACCAGUGGAAACAUCGCUAUCCAGCUGACUGGUGGCCCUGCCCUGAUGACCAAGAGGACUGCUGCUCUGGGUCAGUGAGGAAUGCUGCUUGGGUAGUGAGGACUGCUGCUCUGGGUCAGUGAGGACUGCUGCUCUGGGUCCUGAGGACUGCUGCUCUGGGUCAGUGAGGACUGCGUCUCGGGUCUGAGGACUGCUGGGUCACUGCAUCUGUAGUGUGGCUGUACUGGAGCACUGAUGGUCAUAUGGAAGAAUGAACUAUGAAGCCUUUGUCCAAUAUGGCACCCUAAUCCCUAGUAGUGCACUGCUUCAGGCCCGGCAACGUCCCAACGUCUCAUUGGUUCCACUCCGCAACUUCCCAACGUCUCAUUGGUUCCACUCCUGGCAACGUCCCAACGUCUCAUUGGUACCACUCCUGGCAACGUCCCAACGUCUCAUUGGUUCCACUCCUGGCAACGUCCCAACGUCUCAUUCAUAUAUCCUAUCCUCUGGGGGUCUGCAUAGAGCUAGCAGACUACAGCUCUAUAUCCUAUUCUCUGGGAGUCUGCAUGGAGCAGACUACAGCUCUAUAUAUCCUAUUCUCUGGGGGUCUGCAUAGAGCUAGCAGACU